AGAUUGAACGCUGGCGGCAUGCCUAACACAUGCAAGUCGAACGGCAGCACAGCCGUAGCAAUACGGUGGGUGGCGAGUGGCGGACGGGUGAGUAAUGCAUCGGGAUCUACCUCAACGUGGGGGAUAACGUAGGGAAACUUACGCUAAUACCGCAUACGUCCUACGGGAGAAAGCAGGGGACCUUCGGGCCUUGCGCGGUGAGACGAACCGAUGUUCGAUUAGCUAGUUGGUAAGGUAAUGGCUUACCAAGGCGACGAUCGAUAGC
rnacentral:rRNA from 1 species